GUUACCGGGAAUGAGACUUUUUUAAUGUUUAUUUUUCUUUUUGUGUGUUUUUUGCAUUUUUUUUCUUCAUAUAAUAUUUAGUACUCACUAACUGGUUUUUUUUAUUGUUUAUUCUUCAACUUAAUUGUAGGUGUUUUAUAACUCGAGGCAACUCAGAUUUUCUUACCGACUUUGAUCCAAAAAUUGAAACAACUGUUCGAAUAAGACUUCG
rnacentral:lncRNA from 1 species